rnacentral:rRNA from 1 species
UACGUAGGGUGCAAGCGUUGUCCGGAAUUAUUGGGCGUAAAGAGCUCGUAGGCGGUCUGUCGCGUCGGCUGUGAAAACCCGGAGCUCAACUCCGGGCCUGCAGUCGAUACGGGCAAACUGGAGUGUUGCAGGGGAGACUGGAAUUCCCGGUGUAGUGGUGAAAUGCGUAGAUAUCGGGAGGAACACCAGUGGCGAAGGCGACUACCUGGCCUGUUCUUGACGCUGAGGCGGGAAAGCUAGGGGAGCAAACGGG